GAUGAACGCUAGCGGGAGGCCUAACACAUGCAAGCCGAGCGGGAUUUGUUGGUUAGCUUGCUAACUAACAAUGAGAGCGGCGUACGGGUGCGUAGCACGUGUGCAACCUGCCUUUAUCUGGGGGAUAGCCUUUCGAAAGGAAGAUUAAUACCCCAUAACAUAUUGAUUGGCAUCAGUUAAUAUUGAAAGCUCCGGCGGAUAGAAAUGGGCACGCGUAAGAUUAGCUAGUUGGUGAGGUAACGGCUCACCAAGGCUGCGAUCUUUAGGGGGCCUGAGAGGGUGGUCCCCCAGACUGGUACUGAGACACAGACCAGACUCCUACGGGAGGCAGCAGUGAGGAAUAUUGGACAAUGGGCGAGAGCCUGAUCCAGCCAUCCCGCGUGAAGGACUAAGGACCUAUGGUUUGUAAACUUCUUUUAUACAGGGAUAAACCUACUCUCGUGAGGGUAGCUGAAGGUACUGUAUGAAUAAGCACCGGCUAACUCCGUG
rnacentral:rRNA from 1 species